rnacentral:rRNA from 1 species
AGAGUUUGAUCCUGGCUCAGGACGAACGCUGGCGGCGUGCCUAAUGCAUGCAAGUCGCACGGGUCUCCUUCGGGAGGCCAGUGGCGAACGGCUGAGGAACACGUACGAAUCUACUCCGGUGUGGGGGACAACACGGCGAAAGCCGUGCUAAUCCCGCAUACGCUCCGAGGAGGAAAGCGUGGUAACACACGCGCACCGGAUUGAGCGUGCGGCCCAUCAGGUAGUUGGUGUGGUAAUGGCGCACCAAGCCCGUGACGGGUAGCCGGCCUGAGAGGGUGACCGGCCACACUGGGACUGAGACACGGCCCAGACUCCUACGGGAGGCAGCAGUGGGGAAUAUUGCGCAAUGGGCGGAAGCCUGACGCAGCGACGCCGCGUGGGGGAUGACGGCCUUCGGGUUGUAAACCUCUUUCAGCAGGGACGAAGCGCAAGUGACGGUACCUGCAGAAGAAGCACCGGCCAACUACGUGCCAGCAGCCGCGGUAAUACGGAGGAUGCAAGCGUUAUCCGGAAUUAUUGGGCGUAAAGCGUCCGCAGGUGGCACUUCAAGUCUGCUGUCAAAGACCGGGGCUUAACCCUGGAAAGGCAGUGGAAACUGAAGCGCUAGAGUGUGGCAGGGGUAGAGGGAAUUCCCGGUGUAGCGGUGAAAUGCGUAGAGAUCGGGAAGAACAUCGGUGGCGAAAGCGCUCUACUGGGCCACAACUGACACUCAGGGACGAAAGCUAGGGGAGCGAAUGGGAUUAGAUACCCCCGUAGUCC